AGGGUUCGAUUCUGGCUCAGGAUGAACGCUGGCGGCGUGCUUAACACAUGCAAGUCGAGCGAAGCAUUUCGCUGAUUCUUCGGAUUGAAGCGGAUCUGACUUAGCGGCGGACGGGUGAGUAACGCGUGGGUAACCUGCCUCUAUCAGGGGGAUAACAGUUAGAAAUGACUGCUAAUACCGCAUAAGCGCACAGUACCGCAUGGUACCGUGUGAAAAACUCCGGUGGAUAGAGAUGGACCCGCGUCGGAUUAGCCAGUUGGCGGGGUAACGGCCCACCAAAGCGACGAUCCGUAGCCGGCCUGAGAGGGCGACCGGCCACAUUGGGACUGAGACACGGCCCAAACUCCUACGGGAGGCAGCAGUGGGGAAUAUUGCACAAUGGGGGAAACCCUGAUGCCAGCGACGCCGCGUGAGUGAUGAAGUAUUUCGGUACGUAAAGCUCUAUCAGCAGGGAAGAAGACGACGGUACCUGACUAAGAGGCCCCGGCUAACUACGUGCCAGCAGCUGC
rnacentral:rRNA from 1 species